rnacentral:rRNA from 1 species
GAGAAGGCAUCUUUUUGUGAUUAAAACUGAGGUGGUACAAGAUGGGCAUGCGUCUGAUUAGUUAGUUGGCGGUGUAACGGACCACCAAGACGAUGAUCAGUAGGGGACCUGAGAGGGUGAUCCCCCACACUGGCACUGAGAUACGGGCCAGACUCCUACGGGAGGCAGCAGUAGGGAAUAUUGGACAAUGGGUGAGAGCCUGAUCCAGCCAUGCCGCGUGCAGGAAGAAGGCGUUAUGCGUUGUAAACUGCUUUUGCCAGGGGAUAAAAAGGGCGUGCGCGCCACCUUGAAGGUACCUGGUGAAUAAUCCACGGCUAACUACGUGCCAGCAGCCGCGGUAAUACGUAGGUGGCAAGCGUUGUCCGGAUUUAUUGGGUUUAAAGGGUGCGUAGGCGGCUUUUUAAG